rnacentral:rRNA from 1 species
UACGAGGGGUCCUAGCGUUGUUCGGAAUCAUUGGGCGUAAAGGGUGCGUAGGUUGCUAUUCAAGUCAGUUGUGAAAUCCCCGGGCUCAACCCGGGAAGUGCUUCUGAUACUGUUUAGCUUGAGUACUGGAGAGGAUAGUAGAAUUCCAGGUGUAGUGGUGAAAUACGUAGAUAUCUGGAGGAAUACCGGUGGCGAAGGCGGCUAUCUGGCCCGAUACUGACGCUGAGGUGCGAAAGCGUGGGGAGCAAACAGG